AACCACAGCCUUUUUCUUUACCAUUUAGAUAAGGAUGAAGAUAAGUGGCUUCAGUGGGUCUAAACUCCAGAACAAACCCGUUUCUCAUUUCCCUUUUCCAGCAGAGUCGACAGCUGACGCGCUCGUGAUCUGGUUCAGCCAGAAAUAUGUACCAAAGUUUAUGACCGGGACGCUGACUUUAGCUGACCCGCGUUGAGUCAAUACCACUGGAAAACUGAGCCAAGCUCCAAUGAGGACAGAGGUCAAAGGAUCAGACCCUGACGAUUCUGUCUGGUUCAUGUCCAGCAGGAGCUACAAAAGAAAGAAAGAAAACCCAGAUCAGUAACCGAGGAUCCCGGUGCGGCUCAGCUCGUUGUUGGUAGAAGGGGCUGUCGAAGCCGCUGUCCUGCAGACACUGCCUCAGCUCAGAGAACGGCGGCCUGGAGAAAACGUCGCCGUCUGAGC